AAUGGUAGGGUCACAUAGCCUUAUAAAAGGCUGGUCUUCAAGAUUUUAAUGGGUUCCUACAGCAAUGCUCACAACCCCCUCACUAUGCUUCACCACCACCUCACUAUGAGCCAUUCUGAAAGAAAGAGAUCUCCACAUCCACCACCCCACUCCUGCACCUAGAGAAUGCCACUUUAGGAAGUCCUUCUGCCCUAUUCUCCACAUGUAGGUUGGGGGCAGGGUUAACAAAGUCAAGUCACUACAAUUUAGACUUAUCACAGGCUAGUUUCCAUGAAAUAAAUAUAGUAUGGGAUGUAGUAGAUUACUUCUUGGUUCAAUAAGGUCGCUUAGUAAAGGUAAAUAUAAAGUAUCACUGGCUUCUACAUUUCUCUUGGAUCCAAUGUUAUAUGAAGGUAACUCUUUAUUUUUUAACUAUACUCAAUUUUCCUCACUGAAUACAUAAAUGGAGUCUGACUUCAAAUUGUGAUGUUAUAGUUAAUUCAUUGGCCAAGAGGUUGCUUGGCCCUCAGUCCAUUAAACAUACUUUGUACUACUUAUAGUGUCAUGCAGAUGCUCGCCCUCCCUGUAAAAAAGUGUAAUACCAUCAGUGCAUGCCUUUACUCUUUGUACUAAUAAUUUCAAUAUCCCCAUGCAGUUACGUCAAGUGGUAGAGAUAUGUCCAUUAUCUAUGCCAUAAGUGUU